ACCCCUCACACCUGAACAUUCACAUGCAGUUAGAAUUUAGAAAGUGCCGACCCCCUCGCAGCGGAACAAUCACAUGCUCUGUUCCUGUUUAAACACUUGCAAGGUCUGCAAUAAGUUGGUAGCGUCCCCCUCUCACCAGAACAUCCACAAACUGUGUGUUUGAUUCAACAGGUCGUUACACUUGCAAGGUCUACAGAAAAAUAUAUGCAUAUUUAAUACUCGUUGUUCUUGCUUCAACAGGUCGUCACAAGUGCAAGGUCUGCAGCAAGAUUGUACCGUCCCCCUCACACCUGAACAUUCACAUGCGGGUCCAUACCGGAGAGAGGCCGUACGAAUGUCACGUGUGUGGCAGCAGAUUCAACCAAAAGAGCAACAUGAUGUCACAUAUAAGAUCGAAGCAUAAGCAGUGACGUAAAACAUAUACCCAGGGGAGCGGACUGUUGAAUGCCCAGUGUGCGGAAAGUUGUUCAAGAACAACUGGUUUCUCAACCGUCACAUACGCGUACAUACAGGGGAAAAACCUUACGAGUGUGUUGUAUGCCACAAACGGUUCAACCAGAAAGGCAGCAUGAAGUCUCACUGCCUCGCUGUUCAUCCUGAGAUCUAUGGUUUGGACCAAACAUAACCUCAAAGUCCUGCUCAGCAUUCGACCUCUCUAUAAUUAACCUGAGCCGAGCCCUCGGAUUAACGGGGUUUAAUGCAUGCGCGCAAAGUGUCGUCCCAGAUUAGCCUGUGCGGUCCACAAAUGCUUAUGAGGGUUUUAAAGGAAUAUCUCUUAAACAAAGAAAAUCCAGUCUGGUCGGAAAGAAUCGUACACGAUACCUCUGCGGUCCGCUAGGGCUUGACAGGUACGACAGUUUUCGCUUUGUGGAAUAUUUUGUUUAAAGGAAUAUAUCUUCUAAAUCAAGUCUGGUCGGAAAAAGUCGUCCCUGUUUAGCCUUUAAGAACUACACUGGCUAAUCUAGGGCGACACUUAACUCACAUGCAUAAAAUCCAGUAUUUUUACAUAAUGAUUCAAGUAUUUACUAAAAUGUAAGAGCUUAAAGAUCAACAGAAAUGGUAAACUUUAAACUUGGAUGGUUGUAAGGCCGCUCGUGUUACAUUGAAUAUGCUUUGCAGGGGCAAAAUAACCGUUUACGCUUUGAAAUAAAAUGUGCGCAAUCAGA